rnacentral:rRNA from 1 species
UACGUAGGGUGCAAGCGUUAAUCGGAAUUACUGGGCGAAAAGCGUGCGCAGGCGGUUUUGUAAGUCUGACGUGAAAUCCCCGGGCUCAACCUGGGAAUUGCGUUGGAGACUGCAAGGCUAGAAUCUGGCAGAGGGGGGUAGAAUUCCACGUGUAGCAGUGAAAUGCGUAGAGAUGUGGAGGAACACCGAUGGCGAAGGCAGCCCCCUGGGUCAAGAUUGACGCUCAUGCACGAAAGCGUGGGGAGCAAACAGG